rnacentral:rRNA from 1 species
AGCGAACGCUGGCGGCAUGCCUAACACAUGCAAGUCGAACGAACCUUUCGGGGUUAGUGGCGGACGGGUGAGUAACACGUGGGAACGUGCCUUUAGGUUCGGAAUAACUCAGGGAAACGUGUGCUAAUACCGAAUGUGCCCUUCGGGGGAAAGAUUUAUCGCCUUUAGAUCGGCCCGCGUUUGAUUAGCUAGUUGGUUGAGGUAAUGGCUCACCAAGGCGACGAUCAUUAGCUGGUCUGAGAGGAUGAUCAGCCACAUUGGGACUGAGACACGGCCCAAACUCCUACGGGAGGCAGCAGUGGGGAAUCUUGCGCAAUGGGCGAAAGCCUGACGCAGCCAUGCCGCGUGAAUGAUGAAGGUCUUAGGAUUGUAAAAUUCUUUCACCGGGGACGAUAAUGACGGUACCCGGAGAAGAAGCCCCGGCUAACUUCGUG